GCCGAGGUGGCUUAGCCUGGUUAUAGCGCUCGGCUCAUAACCGAGAGGUCGAGGGUUCAAAUCCCUCCCUCGGCACCA
rnacentral:tRNA from 1 species